CUGGGUGUAGUCAAGUACUUGACUUGUCGGUGCAUGUGUCAAGAUGGGAUUGACCACUCCAGUUUAGGAGCUGUGUACAGUCGUGUUUCAAUUUAGCAAAAUCUUGGCUAGGGUAGUCCUAGUGAGGAGUCACAGGACUAAUUGAGUUGAGCAUGAUUCGGAUGAUAUCAUCAGGGUUGACAGUUUAACCCUGAGUCGUCCUAAACACAGGGGUCAAAAGGGAUAAAUUAUAUGGUAACCAUAUUCACGUAGGUUCUGAAUGUUGCGAUUGCGAUUAUUCGACCUAUCCGAUCAUCGGGUACCAUUGCUAGAUGGUCACUUUGAUUAGUACAGGAAUUGGUUCCUGUGCUACCGGCUUAGGUUCGAAUCUGCGGGCUCACACACAUUAGUGGUUCCUUUCGGAUC
rnacentral:lncRNA from 1 species